rnacentral:rRNA from 1 species
GACGAACGCUGGCGGCGUGCUUAACACAUGCAAGUCGAACGGAAAGGCCCUGCUUUUGUGGGGUGCUCGAGUGGCGAACGGGUGAGUAACACGUGAGUAACCUGCCCUUGACUUUGGGAUAACUUCAGGAAACUGGGGCUAAUACCGGAUAGGGGCUCCUGCUGCAUGGUGGGGGUUGGAAAGUUUCGGCGGUUGGGGAUGGACUCGCGGCUUAUCAGCUUGUUGGUGGGGUAGUGGCUUACCAAGGCUUUGACGGGUAGCCGGCCUGAGAGGGUGACCGGCCACAUUGGGACUGCGAGACGGCGCAGACGCCUACGGGAGGCAGCAGUGGGGAAUAUUGCACAAUGGGCGGAAGCCUGAUGCAGCAACGCCGCGUGCGGGAUGACGGCCUUCGGGUUGUAAACCGCUUUCGCCUGUGACGAAGCGUGAGUGACGGUAAUGGGUAAAGAAGCACCGGCUAACUACGUG